AUAAAAAAAAUAUUUAUUUAAAUAUAAAUAUAUGUUAGCAUUAAGGAGUAUGUAAAAGAGUGGGCGUUUUCUAUAAACACAUUUCUCCAAAGAAAAUAAACCUCCAUAUCUCAAAACUUAAUUUCAUUUUUUUCCUGUGGUAAUACCUCUUCUUUAUCUCUCUAUAGGGGCUUUCUUUCUCUCUCUUCCUCUCUCUCUCUCUCUCUCUCUUUCACGCAGUCGACGAUUAAUCCAAAAUCGGGUCGUCGGCUUCAUACCGAAUCGGACCUUGUUAACCCCAGCACCCGGUGAAUCUUAGCCACCGCCGCCGACACGCGUAAUCGGAAACCUGAAACCCCGUAAUAGCCCUCCGGAACCUUGAAAUGAUAUAGAUUGUAUAUCAACGAAAACCGUUUCUAUUCUUUCGCCGCCGGUGAUUUCGUUUCCGGCGAUUGAACAGGUGCGCACGAUUUUGAACCUGCGCACUCUUCCUGUGUUGAUUGUUUCGUAAUUGUGAAACCUUUUUACGUAAUCGGCCAAACUGUAUUUUUUUUCUCUGGAACUGCAAGUGUUCGGUAUUCCUUUGCAUCAUCGGCUUCUUGUUCCUCCUCGAAUUUUCUGUUUCUGCUCAAACUAUUGUCAAUUUAGGGUUUCUGAUUACGAAAUUGGGAUUAUUCUUUCGUUUUAGGGUUUGUACAAUCAACUUUUUGGCGGCCUUAGUGGCCGAUUCUGUUUGAUUUUGAGCUUCGAGUCAUGGAUCUAUAGAUUGCUUUGUUUAAUCUGUUCGAUUCGCUUCUUUUGUGUUCUGUUGAUUUCUUCGAUUGAUACAAUCAGAUUCAGUUCAAAUUUUUGAUCGUUUCCUGCUUAGAGUGGAGUGUGCCUGGGAAUUGAGUUGUUUGAAAUCUUGCUCUACUCGAACUGCGUUCUUUACUGAUUUCAUGUACCGUUCAGUUGUUUAUGUUGACAAAACACUAAGAAAAAGCUUGUGUUGUGUUGUUUCUGGAUUGAACUUGGAGUUUCCCUUAGUGCCGUUAUUCUUAUCAACUCAAACAACGUCCAAACUUCUAAACAUGUGUGUCUUGGA
rnacentral:lncRNA from 1 species